rnacentral:rRNA from 1 species
UACGGAGGGUGCAAGCGUUGCUCGGAAUUAUUGGGCGUAAAGGGCAGGUAGGUGGUCUCAUUUGUCUGGGGUGAAAUCCUUGGGCUUAACUCAAGAACUGCCCCAGAAACGGUGAGACUGGAGUGCUGGAGAGGGUCGUGGAAUUCCCGGUGUAGCGGUGAAAUGCGUAGAGAUCGGGAGGAACACCAGAGGCGAAGGCGGCGACCUGGACAGUGACUGACACUCAACUGCGAAAGCGUGGGGAGCAAACAGG